UACGGAGGGUGCAAACGUUGCUCGGAAUCACUGGGCGUAAAGCGCACGUAGGCGGUCCGAUAAGUCGGAUGUGAAAGCCCUGGGCUCAACCUAGGAAGUGCAUUCGAAACUGUCGGACUUGAGUACGGGAGAGGGUUGCGGAAUUCCCGGUGUAGAGGUGAAAUUCGUAGAUAUCGGGAGGAACACCAGUGGCGAAGGCGGCAGUCUGGACCGAUACUGACGCUGAGGUGCGAAAGCGUGGGGAGCGAACAGG
rnacentral:misc_RNA from 1 species